AUCUUAUCCAGAGUGGCUGAGGGACGGGCCCUACGACGCCACAGCAACCGGUCUACCAAUUGGUGGAUGCUGGUGCUAACUCCUGCCCCAGCGUAGUCCGAGCCGGCAACGGUUCGACGCGCAGAUGGGACAGAUAAGAU
rnacentral:ncRNA from 2 species